GAUGAACGCUGGCGGUGCGCCUAACACAUGCAAGUCGAACGAAGGAUUGUGAAGGAACUUUACGGAGGGAAAACACAAUGACUGAGUGGCGGACGGGUGAGUAACGCGUAGGGAACCUGGCCCUUACAGGGGGAUAACAGAUGGAAACAACUGCUAAUACCGCAUAAGCGCCCAGCCUCGCAUGAGGCAGAGUGAAAAACUAAGGUGGUAAGGGAUGGCCCUGCGUCCGAUUAGCUAGUUGGUAUGGUAACGGCAUACCAAGGCGACGAUCGGUAGCCGGCCUGAGAGGGUGGACGGCCACAUUGGGACUGAGACACGGCCCAAACUCCUACGGGAGGCAGCAGUGGGGGAUAUUGCACAAUGGGGGAAACCCUGAUGCAGCGACACCGCGUGGGUGAAGAAGCGCUUCGGCGUGUAAAGCCCUAUCAGUGGGGAAGAAAAAGGACG
rnacentral:rRNA from 1 species